rnacentral:piRNA from 1 species
UUGAGGGCCUGGAAUUAUAAAUAUAU